GCUGGGCACGGUGGUUCAUGCCUGUAAUCCCAGGGGCUCAGGAGGCUGAGGCAAGAGGAUCAAGAGUUCAAAGUCAGCCUCAGCAAAAUUGAGGCGCUAAGCAACAGUGAGACCCUGUCUCUA
rnacentral:sRNA from 1 species